AGAGUUUGAUCCUGGCUCAGGAUGAACGCUAGCUACAGGCUUAACACAUGCAAGUCGAGGGGCAGCAUGGUCUUAGCUUGCUAAGGCCGAUGGCGACCGGCGCACGGGUGAGUAACACGUAUCCAACCUGCCGUCUACUCUUGGACAGCCUUCUGAAAGGAAGAUUAAUACAAGAUGGCAUCAUGAGUCCACAUGUUCACAUGAUUAAAGGUAUUCCGGUAGACGAUGGGGAUGCGUUCCAUUAGAUAGUAGGCGGGGUAACGGCCCACCUAGUCAACGAUGGAUAGGGGUUCUGAGAGGAAGGUCCCCCACAUUGGAACUGAGACACGGUCCAAACUCCUACGGGAGGCAGCAGUGAGGAAUAUUGGUCAAUGGGCGAGAGCCUGAACCAGCCAAGUAGCGUGAAGGAUGACUGCCCUAUGGGUUGUAAACUUCUUUUAUAAAGGAAUAAAGUCGGGUAUGCAUACCCGUUUGCAUGUACUUUAUGAAUAAGGAUCGGCUAACUCCGUGCCAGCAGCCGCGGUAAUACGGAGGAUCCGAGCGUUAUCCGGAUUUAUUGGGUUUAAAGGGAGCGUAGAUGGAUGUUUAAGUCAGUUGUGAAAGUUUGCGGCUCAACCGUAAAAUUGCAGUUGAUACUGGAUAUCUUGAGUGCAGUUGAGGCAGGCGGAAUUCGUGGUGUAGCGGUGAAAUGCUUAGAUAUCACGAAGAACUCCGAUUGCGAAGGCAGCUUGCUGGACUGUAACUGACGCUGAUGCUCGAAAGUGUGGGUAUCAAACAGGAUUAGAUACCCUGGUAGUCCACACAGUAAACGAUGAAUACUCGCUGUUUGCGAUAUACAGUAAGCGGCCAAGCGAAAGCGUUAAGUAUUCCACCUGGGGAGUACGCCGGCAACGGUGAAACUCAAAGGAAUUGACGGGGGCCCGCACAAGCGGAGGAACAUGUGGUUUAAUUCGAUGAUACGCGAGGAACCUUACCCGGGCUUGAAUUGCAACUGAAUGAUGUGGAGACAUGUCAGCCGCAAGGCAGUUGUGAAGGUGCUGCAUGGUUGUCGUCAGCUCGUGCCGUGAGGUGUCGGCUUAAGUGCCAUAACGAGCGCAACCCUUGUUGUCAGUUACUAACAGGUUCUGCUGAGGACUCUGACAAGACUGCCAUCGUAAGAUGUGAGGAAGGUGGGGAUGACGUCAAAUCAGCACGGCCCUUACGUCCGGGGCUACACACGUGUUACAAUGGGGGGUACAGA
rnacentral:rRNA from 1 species